rnacentral:lncRNA from 1 species
UUCUAAAGCAUUCCGUUAAUUAACGUGAUUCACUAAACGUGAGUAUUCUACACUCUAUAUAUGGGAGGAGUUUGUUUAAUAGCUGGUAAUUUAACUUUUAAUUGCAGAAUUUAUUGAAGACAUUUCACAAAUCACAAAGUCUACCUUAAGUUAGAACCCAGAUUAAAGAGUUCACUCAAACCGAUAAAGCUGUUAUGCUUGAUGAGAUUCUGGAUUAUGUGUAACAUUUACAGAUGCAAAUCAAGGUUCGGAGGUUGAUAAAGUCUGCAAAGCACUCGAGGUUGGUUGUCCCACUUGCUUGCUUCCUGGACCCAAGCUGAGAAGGAAUUCAAAGU